CCUGCGGAAGGAUCAUUACAUUCAGUAGCCUAGCUACUGGCACGGGGAUUGUUAGCCUGCAUGGUAUCACUACCGAUGAGCAGCAGAUCCCCUGUCUAUACCCUUGUUUUUUGCGUACCUAUUGUUUCCUCGGCGGGCUCGCUCGCCGGCUGGACAAAAUUUAUAACCUUUUUUGUAAUCUUCAAUCAGCGUCUGAAUUAUACCUAAUAAUUACAACUUUCAACAACGGAUCUCUUGGUUCUGGCAUCGAUGAAGAACGCAGCGAAAUGCGAUAAGUAGUGUGAAUUGCAGAAUUCAGUGAAUCAUCGAAUCUUUGAACGCACAUUGCGCCCCUUGGUAUUCCAUGGGGCAUGCCUGUUCGAGCGUCAUUUGUACCCUCAAGCUUUGCUUGGUGUUGGGCGUCUUGUCUUUUCCGUUUGUGAUUGGACUCGCCUUAAAGUAAUUGGCAGCCAGUGUUUUUGGUAGUAAGCGCAGCACAAUUUGCGUCUUGGUCCCUCAACCGUGGCAUCCACAAAGCCUCUUUCUCACUUUUGACCUCGGAUCAGGUAGGGAUACCCGCUGAACUUAAGCAUAUCA
rnacentral:rRNA from 1 species